rnacentral:rRNA from 1 species
AUUGAACGCUAGCGGGAUGCUUUACACAUGCAAGUCGAACGGCAGCGCGGACUUCGGUCUGGCGGCGAGUGGCGAACGGGUGAGUAAUGUAUCGGAACGUGCCCAGUAGCGGGGGAUAACUACGCGAAAGCGUAGCUAAUACCGCAUACGCCCUACGGGGGAAAGCAGGGGAUAGUAAGACCUUGCACUAUUGGAGCGGCCGAUAUCGGAUUAGCUAGUUGGGGAGGUAACGGCUCACCAAGGCGACGAUCCGUAGCUGGUUUGAGAGGACGACCAGCCACACUGGGACUGAGACACGGCCCAGACUCCUACGGGAGGCAGCAGUGGGGAAUUUUGGACAAUGGGGGCAACCCUGAUCCAGCCAUCCCGCGUGUGCGAUGAAGGCCUUCGGGUUGUAAAGCACUUUUGGCAGGAAAGAAACGUCGCGGGCUAAUACCCCGUGGAACUGACGGUACCUGCAGAAUAAGCACCGGCUAACUACGUG